rnacentral:rRNA from 1 species
GCAUGAAGUCGGAAUUGCUAGUAAUCGCGGAUCAGCAUGCCGCGGUGAAUACGUUCCCGGGGCCUUGUACACACCGCCCGUCACACCAUGGGAGCCGGUAAUACCCGAAGUCAGUAGUCCAACCUCGUGAGGACGCUGCCGAAGGUAGGAUUGGCGACUGGGGUGAAGUCGUAACAAGGUAAC